UCUCCCUGUAGCGCAAUGGAUAGCGUUUGGACUUUUAAUCCAAAGGUCGAGGGUUCGAUUCCCACCGAGAU